GGCUCAGUAGCUCAAUGGAUAGAGCAGCUCCGUCCUAAGGAGAAGGUUGUACGUUCGACUCGUAUCUGGGCUACCA
rnacentral:tRNA from 1 species